rnacentral:rRNA from 1 species
AGCGAACGCUGGCGGCAGGCCUAACACAUGCAAGUCGAACGAACCUUUCGGGGUUAGUGGCGGACGGGUUAGUAACACGUGGGAACGUGCCCUUAGGUUUGGACUAACUCAGGGAAACUUGUGCCAAUACCGAAUGUGCCCUUCGGGGGAAAGAUUAAUUGACUUUCUAGCGUCCCGCGUCUGAUUAGCUAGUUGGUUGAGGUAAUGGCUCACCAAGGCGACGAUCAGUAGCUGGUAUGAGAGGAUGAUCAGCAACAUUGGGACUGGGACACGGCCCAAACUCCUACGAGAGGCAGCAGUGGGGAAUCAUGCGCAAUGGGCGAAAGCCGAACGCAGCCAUGCCGCGUGAAUGAUGAAUGUCUUAGGAUUGUAAAAUUCUUUCACCGGGGACGAUAAGGACGGUACCCGGAGAAGAAGCCCCGGCUAACUUCGU